CGGAACGGGUGAGUAACGCGUGAGGAACCUGCCUCAAAGAGGGGGACAACAGUUGGAAACGACUGCUAAUACCGCAUAAGCCCACGGCUCGGCAUCGAGCAGAGGGAAAAGGAGUGAUCCGCUUUGAGAUGGCCUCGCGUCCGAUUAGCUAGUUGGUGAGGUAACGGCCCACCAAGGCGACGAUCGGUAGCCGGACUGGGAGGUUGAACGGCCACAUUGGGACUGAGACACGGCCCAG
rnacentral:rRNA from 1 species